ACGGGAGGCAGCAGUGGGGAAUUUUGCGCAAUGGGGGAAACCCUGACGCAGCAACGCCGCGUGCGGGACGGAGGCCUUCGGGUUGUAAACCGCUUUCAGCAGGGACGAUGAUGACGGUACCUGCAGAAGAAGCUCCGGCUAACUACGUGCCAGCAGCCGCGGUAAUACGUAGGGAGCGAGCGUUAUCCGGAUUCAUUGGGCGUAAAGCGCGCGUAGGCGGCCGCCUAAGCGGGACCUCUAAUCCCGGGGCUCAACCCCGGCCCGGGUCCCGAACUGGGCGGCUCGAGUGCGGUAGGGGCAGGCGGAAUUCCCGGUGUAGCGGUGGAAUGCGCAGAUAUCGGGAAGAACACCGAUGGCGAAGGCAGCCUGCUGGGCCGUCACUGACGCUGAGGCGCGAAAGCUAGGGGAGCGAACAGGAUUAGAUACCCUGGUA
rnacentral:rRNA from 1 species